rnacentral:rRNA from 1 species
UGAGUAAUGCUUAGGAAUCUGCCUAUUAGUGGGGGACAACAUCUCGAAAGGGAUGCUAAUACCGCAUACGUCCUACGGGAGAAAGCAGGGGAUCUUCGGACCUUGCGCUAAUAGAUGAGCCUAAGUCGGAUUAGCUAGUUGGUGGGGUAAAGGCCUACCAAGGCGACGAUCUGUAGCGGGUCUGAGAGGAUGAUCCGCCACACUGGGACUGAGACACGGCCCAGACUCCUACGGGAGGCAGCAGUGGGGAAUAUUGGACAAUGGGCGCAAGCCUGAUCCAGCCAUGCCGCGUGUGUGAAGAAGGCCUUAUGGUUGUAAAGCACUUUAAGCGAGGAGGAGGCUACUUUAGUUAAUACCUAGAGAUAGUGGACGUUACUCGCAGAAUAAGCACCGGCUAACUCUGUGCCAGCAGCCGCGGUAAUACAGAGGGUGCAAGCGUUAAUCGGAUUUACUGGGCGUAAAGCGCGCGUAGGCGGCUAAUUAAGUCAAAUGUGAAAUCCCCGAGCUUAACUUGGGAAUUGCAUUCGAUACUGGUUAGCUAGAGUGUGGGAGAGGAUGGUAGAAUUCCAGGUGUAGCGGUGAAAUGCGUAGAGAUCU